rnacentral:rRNA from 1 species
AUUGAACGCUGGCGGCAGGCCUAACACAUGCAAGUCGAACGAGUGGCGGACGGGUGAGUAAUGUCUGGGAAACUGCCUGAUGGAGGGGGAUAACUACUGGAACCGGUAGCUAAUACCGCAUACCAUCGGAUGUGCCCAGAUGGGAUUAGCUAGGAGGUGGGGUAAAGGCUCACCUAGGCGACGAUCCCUAGCUGGUCUGAGAGGAGGCCAGGCCACACUGGAACUGAGACACGGCCCAGACUCCGACGGGAGGCAGCAGUGGGGAAUAGUGCACAAGGGGCGCAAGCCUGAUGCAGCCAGGCCGCGUGUAUGAAGAAGGCCUUCGGUUUGUAAAGUACUUUCAGCGGGGAGGCGUUACCCGCAGAAGAAGCACCGGCUAACUCCGUGCCAGCAGCCGCGGUAAUUC